CGGCCUCGGAUCAGACGUGAAUACCCGCUGAACUUAAGCAUAUCAUUAA
rnacentral:rRNA from 2 species